rnacentral:hammerhead_ribozyme from 1 species
AUCCAGCUGACGAGUUUCAAAUAGGACGAAACGCGCGUGCAGGAU